rnacentral:rRNA from 1 species
GAUGAACGCUGGCGGCGUGCCUAAUACAUGCAAGUCGAGCGAACAGACGAGGAGCUUGCUCCUCUGACGUUAGCGGCGGACGGGUGAGUAACACGUGGAUAACCUACCUAUAAGACUGGGAUAACUUCGGGAAACCGGAGCUAAUACCGGAUAAUAUAUUGAACCGCAUGGUUCAAUAGUGAAAGACAGUUUUGCUGUCACUUAUAGAUGGAUCCGCGCCGCAUUAGCUAGUUGGUAAGGUAACGGCUUACCAAGGCGACGAUGCGUAGCCGACCUGAGAGGGUGAGCGGCCACACUGGAACUGAGACCCGGUCCAGACUCCUACGGGAGGCAGCAGUAGGGAAUCUUCCGCAAUGGGCGAAAGCCUGACGGAGCAACGCCGCGUGAGUGAUGAAGGUCUUCGGAUCGUAAAACUCUGUUAUUAGGGAAGAACAAAUGUGUAAGUAACUAUGCACGUCUUGACGGUACCUAAUCAGAAAGCCACGGCUAACUACGUG